UAGUCCACGCCGUAAACGAUGUCAACUAGCCGUUGGGGGGCUUGACCCUUUAGUGGCGCAGCUAACGCAAUAAGUUGACCGCCUGGGGAGUACGGCCGCAAGGUUAAAACUCAAAUGAAUUGACGGGGGCCCGCACAAGCGGUGGAGCAUGUGGUUUAAUUCGAUGCAACGCGAAGAACCUUACCAGGUCUUGACAUCCUGAAAACUUUCUAGAGAUAGAUUGGUGCCUUCGGGAAUUCAGUGACAGGUGCUGCAUGGCUGUCGUCAGCUCGUGUCGUGAGAUGUUGGGUUAAGUCCCGUAACGAGCGCAACCCCUAUUUUCAGUUGCCAGCACAUAAUGGUGGGGACUCUGGAGAGACUGCCGGCGCAAGCCGCGAGGAAGGUGGGGACGACGUCAAAUCAUCAUGCCCCUUACGUUCUGGGCUACACACGCACUACAAUGCAACGGACAAAGGGCAGCCAACUAGCGAUAGUGAGCUAAUCCCAUAAACCGUUGCUCAGUUC
rnacentral:rRNA from 1 species